rnacentral:rRNA from 1 species
UACGUAGGGUGCAAGCGUUGUCCGGAAUUAUUGGGCGUAAAGAGCUCGUAGGCGGUUUGUCGCGUCGGCUGUGAAAUCCCGAGGCUCAACCUCGGGUCUGCAGUCGAUACGAGCAGGCUGGAGUUCGGUAGGGGAGACUGGAAUUCCUGGUGUAGCGGUGAAAUGCGCAGAUAUCAGGAGGAACACCGGUGGCGAAGGCGGGUCUCUGGGCCGAUACUGACGCUGAGGAGCGAAAGCGUGGGGAGCGAACAGG